CCUACGGGGGAUAGCAGUGGGGAAUAUUGCACAAUGGGGGAAACCCUGAUGCAGCAACGCCGCGUGAGUGAUGACGGCCUUCGGGUUGUAAAGAUCUGUCUUCAGGGACGAUAAUGACGGUACCUGAGGAGGAAGCCAACGCUAACUACGUGCCAGCAGCCGCGGUAAUACGUAGGUGGCGAGCGUUGUCCGGAUUUACUGGGCGUAAGGGAAGCGUAGGCGGACUUUUAAGUGAGAUGGGAAAUACUCGGGCUCAACUUGAGUGCUGCAUUUCAAACUGUAAGUCUAGAGUGCAGGAGAGGAGAAUGGAAUUCCUAGUGGAGCGGUGAAAUGCGUAGAGAUUAGGAAGAACACCAGUGGCGAAGGAGAUUCUCUGAACUGUAACUGACGCUGAGGCUCGAAAGCGUGGGGAGCAAACAGGAUUAGAUAUCCCAGUAGUC
rnacentral:rRNA from 1 species